ensembl:lncRNA
AUGGAGAAAGUAAUUUUCUUCUGUAUUUUUUCUUCCUGGAUUACGCAAACAGGUUCCAGUGAUGUUUCAGAACAUGAUGUGACUCUGUUAAGAGUUCAGCUUAACAAAAGCAUCAGCUUGAACUGCAACAUGACUGACAGAUAUGAAAUUGCAUGGUUUCACCAGUAUUCUCAACAACUAAAUCAACUGCUAUCUGCAAAGAUUAGCAGCGCAUCAGGAAGACUUCUAGUUAUGUACAAUCAAAACUGGAGUCAUCUGGACAUCAAUGAUCAUCAUGGAGAUGUGGGGAUCACCACAGUCAUGCUACUUAUCUCUGGAGUAACAGAGUCAGAUUCAGGCCUUUAUUUCUUUGGAACAAAAUCAGAAACUUCUUCAAAGAUGCACUUUGACAAACCCAUCAGACUACAGAUCGAAGGCAAGCUGACAGACAGAGAGGAUAAAACUCAUUCUGUCACAGAUCCGCCAGAGGAUGAUGAGAUCACAGAUGGAGUGACUACAAAAGAGAGGGCAUUGAUGUUCGGUGGUGUUGGUCUGGCUGUGUUGGUGUUUUUUCUGGCUACAGUCGUUGCAGGAGGAAUCAUUCACUAUCACGGCUGGCAGAAAGGAUGGGCCGCAGCCAAACGCUCAUCUCUCAUGAAUCACAAAUCAGCUAAAUGA